CUUUGUGCAGAUCAGUGGUGGUUUAAGGAUGGGCUCUCCUCGGGUCUGGUCUCUGCUCUGCUCCUAUCUCAUCGCUGUCCUCUGGGAAACAACCCAAGGUGUGACUGUGGAAGCUCCAUCCAUCCAUCCAUGGCUCAGAGACUCAGUGACUGUGCGGUGUGUGGGGUCGACUGUAGACAUGACACAGAUGAACCUCUACAAAGAUGACAGAAUGGUGACAGAAGAUCACUCUCAUCAGAUCACAAGGACACACACCACAGUGGAGCUCAACAUCAACUCAGUGUCUGAUACAGAUCAAGGAAGUUACACAUGUGUGAAAAAUGACAAGACAAAAUAUGGUCAGAUACCACUGCGGGUUAUAAGGAGGUUUCGUGAUAUUCCGCUGAAAGCUUCCAGCAGGACUGUUCCAGUCCAGGGCAGUGUGACUCUGGAAUGUUCUGUACAGGGCUUUACAAACUCUCAGUGGCUCAGACGCUCUUCAUUUAAUGCCCCUGACUUUGAAAUACUGAAUGUGCACACAAGUAUUAUCCAUGUAACUCGUGGAGGAGUGUACUCCUGCAGAGGGGAGGAUAAGUUGAUCAUCACUAAAGAAAGUAAUGCAGUCGACAUUUGGGAGACUGGUCGACCUCUGCAGAUGCCUUCAUGGGCCUGUCUCAGAGACUCAGAAUCAGACCAGGGCUGGUACUCCUGUGGGAUCGAUGGAGAAACACUGUACACAGGGCAAAGACUUACAAUAUACACAGGUCUGUAGUGACAAGAGUCUUUCAGUAAUGUUUUUAUGAUGAACCAGAGACUUCAUGGUGUGGUGGGCUGAGGCUGAGAUGUCAAACACAAUGGAUUCAGAAAUAUCAAUGGAUCAGACGAACUUCUGCUCAUACUUCUCACUUUGAGAUCUUAAAUGAAGAUACAGCCACUAUCUCUGUACAUCGUGGAGGUGUGUACUCCUGCAGAGGAAAAGAAGAGCUGAUUCUCACACCUGAAAGUUACUUUGUCACCAUUUGGGAAACUGUGUCAAACAGAGCAGUGGUGCAGCCUGAGUCUGACUGGACAGAGGUGUUUGUUGGAGAGAGUCUGUCUCUCAGGUGUGAGGUGGAGGAUGAAGGAAACACAGAGUGGACUUAUGAAUGGAAUAGGACAGGAGUUAUGUUACCUACAACAGCCAGAGAAUAUGUCCUCUCCAAUGUGUCUGAGUCUGACAGUGGAGACUACAGCUGCAGAGGGACCAGAGGAGCAUAUGAGCAAACACAGUGGAGCCAGGUGACCAAGCUGCAGGUGACCGGUGAGUCCAAUAUGACUGUGGCUAUGUUUACAUGAAGACUUAUUUUAAAAUGUAUUAUACACUGACUUUAAAAUACAACACUUAUGUCAGUGACUCCACAAAUGAACUGGCACAUGUCAUCAGGAGUUUUUGAUGAUACAUUUCUGUUGGGCAU